ensembl:lncRNA
GUAGGUCUAGUGAACCACUGGGGAAGUUUAAACACAGGGAUGAGUAUUCUGUAGGUUUAUGAAAGAGAUACUCUGGGUGGCAGGUGGCCCUAAUGGGUGGAGUUUCAUAAACCUUAAUUGGCCUUCACUCUUAGCAAUGAGCGCUUUCUUCUGUUAGAAGAACGCACUUCUUUACCAUUCUGAGAGUUAAAGCCCAGCGCCUUGUUUCAUUUUGACUUGAAAUUUUGAAUUGCUGCUCAAACUAAGCAUCUUUGUAUAUUCUUCAUUUUAAUUCUUUAUUCUUUCACUGGUUAUUCAAAUCCUUUGCUCAUUUUUAUGUUUCUGUGCUUUUCCCCAUAGAAAAUUGUAAGAAUUUUGUGCAUCCUAAGGGCAUUGGUAUCGUUUGUGUAUAUUUUCUCAUUUUUUGCCAUUUUUCUUUGAAUUAAAACAUUUUUGGUAAUGAAGUUUUAACCUUUUACACAAUCAUAUCUAUUACUUAUUUUUCCUUUUGGGAAUUCUGCUUUGUCAUUCACAGGAAAUCAUUUCUCAUUUUAUUUUUAGAAGAAUACUGUGAAAUUUAUUUAUUGUUUUCAUUUAAACCUGCUUUUUCAGCCUAGAAAUAAUUUGCUAUAGGAGAUGAGAUAAAAGUUGAUCUUUGCUCCUUUUUUUCAAGUAGAACUGAUUGUCCCAACAACAUUUUUAUUAACAGCUUAUCCUUUUUCUUGAUUUGGAAUGCUGCCUUAACCUAAAAAUAUAUCCAUGUUACUUUAUUUUCAUUGCUACUACAAAACACCUAAAGCUGAGUGUUUCAUAAAGAAAAGAGGUUUAUUUAGCUCACAGUUAUAGAGGCUGAAAGUCCAUGACUGGGAAGAUUCUGUGUCACAUUCUAACUGAUGGUGUCCUAGCAGAGCACAUAGGAGUGAGGGAGAUCAGACGGUGAGACAGAAACACAGGGAGUGGGGACAGGCCAGGCUUGCUCUUUAAGGACAACUUGCUUUUGUGAGAACUCACUCAGAGUCCUCUGAGAAUGACAUUGACCUCCUCUGUGGGCAGCACCCCAGUGACCCAAUUACUUUGCACUAAACUUCACCUCUUAAAGCUCCCACCAGUACCUAUAAUGUCAUCACCACUUUGAAGAACAAGCUACCAUACCAGCAUGUGAAACUUCAGAGGGGACUGACCUCCUUCACUCCACAGCCAUCUGUGAAUAUGUAUAUUCUGUCUCGUGUAUCCAUCUCUGUGGUUGCUGGCCAGUAUAUCCUUUUAAAAAAUUACCAUAAAAUUUUAAGGGAGCAUUGUACUGUUUCAAAGGGCAGGGACCUCUUUAUUAUUCUUAUUUUGAAAAUUUUGUCUAUUCUAGCUCAUUUAUUCUUCCAAAAAUUGCUUUGUCAUAUCCCCCCAUGUGACAAUGUGGAAAAACUGCAGAUGUUCAUAAAUGUUGUCCAUAUAGACGGAAUAUCCUCAAGAUAAACACAUCACUGAAAAAAUACAGCUUAUCUCAGUUGCAUGAAAAACUAAGGGUGUUUGAAGAUAUGGGACCACGCUUCAUUGGCUCAGUUGAGCUACUCAUCCCAGAAGAGCCCUAAAAAACCACAAGCUUGGGCCGGGGAUUUAGCUCAGCGGUUUCGCUGCCUGCUGCGCAAGCGCAAGGACCCGAGUUCGAUCCCCGGUAUCAAAAAGAAAAACCAAAACAAAAAACACAAACAAAUACAAGCUUUAUUAUUGAAGACCAAAGACCUGGGUGACAGAAAUAGACACAAGAAUGCAUUUAAGGCAUAAAGGACAAUAACUCAAUAACCCAAAUGAAUCCGAUGGGACAUCAAUCUUAGAUUUUCUGAAAUAAAUGAAAAAUGUGAUGGUUAGACAAAAGUCUACUUGUCUAUGAGCCACAUUCAGUGGUAAACAAAAGACCAAAGAAAUUUACAGGAGUAGGAUGGUAGAGCUACGUGUUCUUUACAGCUCAAUUUUAGCUUCUUCGUUUAUUUCUGUGGCCCAUUUCUCAGAAUUUCCCCCUAUUUAUUGGUGUGCCGAUUUCAGCAGACUGACUGACUUCAUUUCAAUGUAGGCUUUCUGGGAUUUGAGUCAAGGUUACCGGAUAUUUUUAAAUAAACAUUUGGCAAAUUUUCAGGUAGGUACUUGAAGAAAAGUAAUGGAUGUCUAUCAAUAGCAUUCAAUGUCACAUUUUCUUUGAAGUAAAGGAAAACAAAACAAAAAUAUUGCUUACUUUUAUGAAAGCAGAGGAAGCCAUAAGUAUAUUGGGUUUUUUUCAGCUUUGGUGUGGAGAAAUAGAAUCUUCCUUUUUUUAGAGGAAUUAUGAAGAGAAAAGUAGGAAUAUCGUACAAUUUCUCCAUUUCCACAGCUGCAGUUACUUUAUUUUCUAUGAUUGCUUCUUUGUUUCCAGUAUCUCCCACUUUGGGUAGCAUCGCUGAGGAUUUAUUCAGCAAAUAUUUAUUUUUGGCCCUGCAAGGAAUGAGUCACUGUCCAUGUUAAAUGACAAGUGUUGAGGUCCACUGCAGACUUGGGAAACCUGAGGGAAUCCAGGUCUAAAUAAGGGUUAGAAUAGCCAUUUCUCACCAUCCUGAAGGGACACAAACAAAGAAAGCUGCUUAUUCAGCAAGGAAGAAAAUAUCAGGAGCACAAAAGUAAUGAAGAAGGAAACAGAUUUUUUUCUGCCUUUCAUGGAAUAUUGUGAAAUGACUGUCCUUGAAAGAAACUAAAUUUUGAUAGUAUAAUCCAAUGAAGAAAUAAGAAAAAAUAAAAUUGUAUCUUUUCUGAGUCUAUGGCCAGCUUUGUUAUAGUUAAAUUUGUUAAUCUGAAUGUCUGUGUAUUUAAAGAGUUCAGGUAAAGUCCAAGCUAACACUGUUUAUUAUUUUGAUAUAAAGUUUAAUUAAUAUUAAGCAUAGUAAUUAGGUAAGCAAGUGACAGAGGAGAUUUGGAAAUAUAUGAACAAUUUUUUUUCAACCUCUGAGUAUUCUUGUAUUUAUUUUUUUUCAUGCUGGUGAUUGAAUACAGGCCCUGGAGCACUUUUUAUCACCAAGCCACAGCUCAGCUUCUUAAAUCUGUUGUCACUGAAAGCAAACACCAAUGAAAGAAAGUUAGCAUAGGGAAGACUGAAGACUUUUUUCCCCCUUGAUAAUUUUGCGUUUAGCCACCCUAUUCUCAAAUGGAUGCCUUAAAAUGUCUGUUAUACAAUAGGAUAAAAAUAAUAAGUACUUGGUACUGGGGAUUUAGCUCAGUGGUUCCAGCGCCUGCCUUGCAAACACAAGGUCCUGAGUUCGAUCCUCACUACCCCUGCCCCCCCAAAUAAUAAUAAGUACUUGAGACAAUCAAGGAAAGGGAAAGGCAAGGUAGAAACACCUGAGAUUAAGGAAGCCACAGGAGCAGGAAUCUGAGAGGUGUGAAUGUCAGGAGAAGGCACUGCCUCCCGGCCAGGAGAGAACACCCCACCCAGCAUCCUAAAUGGGAAACAAGCAGCUGCAUGUCUCACUGUGUCCAUCAACUAAACCCACAACAGUUGUUCAGAGGAAGCAUAAUUAUUUCCACUACUUAGAUUCGAGAAAUAGCUCUCUUUCCCAUGGGUCCUCAUAAAAAAAGCCAGCAAGUCAUCAUCUGCUGAAGCUCUUGGAAAGGCUCUUCAUCUGUGCCAGGCAUUUCAUAGAGGAUCUGCUGCUUCCUUGCCCCUGGGGCUUCACAUCUACUCUCCUCCUACUGGUAAAUGAAGUCAUGAAACCUCUCCAUGAUUGAGAUGCAUCCACUGGAAAACGAGAGCCUGUGUUACCUCUUGGGCUCCAUCCAAUAGUAAACUUCUGUUUGUUGGUUUCUGAUUGUUACAGUGGGUCUUUAAAAAACUGUGUUUGCUAACAUUUCUUCAGCUUAGAAAGACCAAAUAUUCUUGAAAUAAGAUUGUGUAGGUGUCAUUGGGUGUAUGCAUUCAAACUUCUUACUCAUUAAUCUACAUUGUCAGUCAGAAGUUCAGGAAGGAAACAGCAUCUAUGCCUGUGACUUUACAGGAAAUCCUUAAUAUACGGGGAAUUGUUAACUGAGAACAGGGGAGUAGCCCUGUGAACUAUGGGCUACUGCACAGUUCUCUAUAACUAUGAAGAGAUAAGUCAGAAGUGAGAGACCAUCCCUGUUAAAGAAGGGACAAUUGGAGAGGGGCAUGCUACACACCAGCAGAAGGGCAUCAUCUUCUUUUUUUUUUGUUUUUGGUACUGGGGAUUGAACUCAGGUCCUUGUGCUUUCAAGGCAGGUGGCGGAACCACUGAGCUAAAUCCCUGGCCCUUGGGCAUCAUCUUCAAUGCUGAUGUUUAGACUUCAUUGGAGAGGUUGUUGACCCGCUGGUUGGUUGGGAAAUUCAAUGGUGCCUCAGACUAAGCCUGGGCCAUUGCCAACUGGCUGGAGUCUUAACAGAGGGAAGUGCAGGCAGGACUUGAGCUACAUAAAGGCUGCUUCUAAGGUUGCUAGAGGGCAAGUUAUGGGACCUCUCAUAACAGCCAAGAGAAGUCUCUUCCUUCGGUUCUAUCCCUGCUUUAAUACCUUCUACUGACAAAGUUUAACAUGCAUGGUGCCAGCAAAAGAGAAACUCUUUGAGAUUCCAACUCUGUUUUUGCAAAGCUUGGCAAUGAUGGGCAAACUUGGUGCUCUGGGGCAAUAAAUGGAUAAUUACCGUACUUGCAUUUCCCCCAACUCAUUAGAUUCCAGGAUGUGUAAUAUGCAUUGACAAAUGCUCAUUACCCAUUUUAUGUAACCAUAUGCAAUGUGAUGUAUUUUACAGUGCUCAAGUGACUGUGGAAAGAAACAGUGCGGGUGGGCUAGGUCAUCAGCAAUUUUUCCAGCAGUCCAGAAGUAGUCAAAGAUGAAAGUAUGCCCACUAAUCAUACUGUUUUGCUGCAUUGACUUUCUAAUAUUCACGGCAUGGAUGCUUAUGAUUUAAAUUAUCAAAACCUUUCUCAGUAAGCC